UACGAAGGGUGCUAGCGUUGUUCGGAUUUACUGGGCGUAAAGCGCACGUAGGCGGACUAUUAAGUCAGGGGUGAAAUCCCGGGGCUCAACCCCGGAACUGCCUUUGAUACUGGUAGUCUUGAGUUCGAGAGAGGUGAGUGGAAUUCCGAGUGUAGAGGUGAAAUUCGUAGAUAUUCGGAGGAACACCAGUGGCGAAGGCGGCUCACUGGCUCGAUACUGACGCUGAGGUGCGAAAGCGUGGGGAGCAAACAGG
rnacentral:rRNA from 1 species